UGUAUUUACUGAACUUAAUUGCCACCUUCAUUUAAACUAACCAACCCUUUUGAUUCCCUUUCUUCCUCCCAUAUCGACCUCAUCACUCUCUCUCUCUCUCUCUCUGUAACUUUCUUCGUUUUCUUAAUGACUGUUACAUUUUGUGUAAUCUUUAGGUCACACAUUCAAGAUUUGUAUCAAUGCAAGAAAGGCUUGAGUGUUUCUACUUUGGUGAACAGUCGGAAUCAGAAACCCUAGCCGGAGCCGUUUGUCGCCUGCACUGAAAUGGGAAGAAUAGUGAUGCUACUAGGUCCAAGCAUUCGAUGACGGACCAACAUAGAAGGAACAAGAUUAAUGAAAGGCAUGUGUUUGUUUUAUCAUAAUUAUUGUUUUUGUAUUUGAUAUAUUUAAGUUUAUACCUUGUGUGGAGUAUAUUUAGUUUGUUAUAGUAAUAUAUACUCAGUUUAAUAAUAUGUUUUUGGCCAUUGGUGGAUUUUAGUUUGUGAUUUGAUGAAAAUAGUUUGAUUAUAGUGGAAACGCUCGAAAUGAAAUGAAAGGGAUAUAUGUAGCAGGGUUAAAGUAAUCAUGAGAUGAAGGUAUGAAAGACCGGUGAAAACCUAGGUCAUCAAUGGCGAAGAAUCUCAUCUUCCCUCUAACCGAAUCUUAAAGCUUCUAUCAAUUGGCCAGAUGUGAGAUUGUUCAAAAAAUCAAGGGUUCGAUGUCAAAACCGCAAGGUGAAAACGAAGAAUCAAGUUGAUUUGAGAUCCACCUACGAAGAUUCAGAAACAGCUUUGAAGACGGGCUUUUAAAGCUUGUAAAGGAUGUCGGUCGGUC